rnacentral:rRNA from 1 species
CUAGCCGUAAACGAUGGAUACUAGGCGUUGUGAGUAUCGACCCUCACAGUGUCGUAGCUAACGCGUUAAGUAUCCCGCCUGGGGAGUACACGCGCAAGCGUGAAACUCAAAGGAAUUGACGGGGGCCCGCACAAGCGGUGGAGUAUGUGGUUUAAUUCGAUGCAACGCGAAGAACCUUACCAGGACUUGACAUGUCGCGAAUCUCAGGGAAACUUGAGAGUGCCUUCGGGAGCGCGAACACAGGUGGUGC